UUGGGAACUGCCGAAUAGUUGCGGAUAAGUCACUUUUCAUUAUUUAAUAAGCAGGUAUAAGAGGUCUUAGGCCACUUACAGCAAAUUAUAACUAUUUGGAUAAAAUUUUAAGAUUUCAUUGGAUGAUCUAAUAAAUCUCUUAAACAUAUUUAAAUCACAUGGAUGUGUGCAAUUCCGGGUUCUUCUUCAGCUUUCAGUCACUUUUCGCAACGUUGGAUACACGGAUACAAAUGUAGCUGUGUAUCUAAUAGAUAUACGUACACUAGCAUCUAUGUCGCUCUUUCUUUCUUUGUCUCGCUCGUGUUGUAUUAUGUUUUGGGCGCAAUAUUAGAGCUGGUGCACGAAGCAAAGCCCGCGAGCACACAAACUGCACAUAAGUAUACACAAAA